rnacentral:rRNA from 1 species
GAUGAACGCUGGCGGCGUGCCUAAUACAUGCAAGUCGAGCGAACAGACGAGGAGCUUGCUCCUUUGACGUUAGCGGCGGACGGGUGAGUAACACGUGGGUAACCUACCUAUAAGACUGGGAUAACUUCGGGAAACCGGAGCUAAUACCGGAUAAUAUUUCGAACCGCAUGGUUCGAUAGUGAAAGAUGGUUUUGCUAUCACUUAUAGAUGGACCUGCGCCGUAUUAGCUAGUUGGUAAGGUAACGGCUUACCAAGGCAACGAUACGUAGCCGACCUGAGAGGGUGAUCGGCCACACUGGAACUGGGACACGGUCCAGACUCCUACGGGAGGCAGCAGUAGGGAAUCUUCCGCAAUGGGCGAAAGCCUGACGGAGCAACGCCGCGUGAGUGAUGAAGGUCUUCGGAUCGUAAAACUCUGUUAUUAGGGAAGAACAAACGUGUAAGUAACUGUGCACGUCUUGACGGUACCUAAUCAGAAAGCCACGGCUAACUACGUGCCAGCAGCCGCGGUAAUACGUAGGUGGCAAGCGUUAUCCGGAAUUAUUGGGCGUAAAGCGCGCGUAGGCGGUUUUUUAAGUCUGAUGUGAAAGCCCACGGCUCAACCGUGGAGGGUCAUUGGAAACUGGAAAACUUGAGUGCAGAAGAGGAAAGUGGAAUUCCAUGUGUAGCGGUGAAAUGCGCAGAGAUAUGGAGGAACACCAGUGGCGAAGGCGACUUUUUGGUCUGUAACUGACGCUGAUGUGCGAAAGCGUGGGGAUCAAACAGGAUUAGAUACCCUGGUAGUCCACGCCGUAAACGAUGAGUGCUAAGUGUUAGGGGGUUUCCGCCCCUUAGUGCUGCAGCUAACGCAUUAAGCACUCCGCCUGGGGAGUACGACCGCAAGGUUGAAACUCAAAGGAAUUGACGGGGACCCGCACAAGCGGUGGAGCAUGUGGUUUAAUUCGAAGCAACGCGAAGAACCUUACCAAAUCUUGACAUCCUUUGACCCUUCUAGAGAUAGAAGUUUCCCCUUCGGGGGACAAAGUGACAGGUGGUGCAUGGUUGUCGUCAGCUCGUGUCGUGAGAUGUUGGGUUAAGUCCCGCAACGAGCGCAACCCUUAAGCUUAGUUGCCAUCAUUAAGUUGGGCACUCUAAGUUGACUGCCGGUGACAAACCGGAGGAAGGUGGGGAUGACGUCAAAUCAUCAUGCCCCUUAUGAUUUGGGCUACACACGUGCUACAAUGGACAAUACAAAGGGCAGCGAAACCGCGAGGUCAAGCAAAUCCCAUAAAGUUGUUCUCAGUUCGGAUUGUAGUCUGCAACUCGACUACAUGAAGCUGGAAUCGCUAGUAAUCGUAGAUCAGCAUGCUACGGUGAAUACGUUCCCGGGUCU